GCUGGAACAGGUGGUUUGUCAGCUUGAACCCUGGGGAAAUAACACACAGACCAAAGGCGGGAAACAUUUCAAAGCUAGAUAUGCUUUCAUAAAGAUCCCGUGGGUCAGACUGCAGGUGUCCGGUGUAGUCAGGUGACCGGUGUAGUCAGGUGUCCGGUGUAGUCAGGUGACCGGUGUAGUCAGGUGUCUGGUGUAGUCAGGUGUCUGGUGUAGUCAGGUGUCCGGUGUAGUCAGGUGACCGGUGUAGUCAGGUGUCCGGUGUAGUCAGGUGACCGGUGUAGUCAGGUGACCGGUGUAGUCAGGUGUCCGGUGUAGUCAGGUGACCGGUGUAGUCAGGUGACCGGUGUAGUCAGGUGACCGGUGUAGUCAGGUGACCGGUGUAGUCAGGUGUCCGGUGUAGUCAGGUGUCCGGUGUAGUCAGGUGACCGGUGUAGUCAGGUGACCGGUGUAGUCAGGUGACCGGUGUAGUCAGGUGACCGGUGUAGUCAGGUGUCCUGGUUUGUAUGAUUGAAUACAGAGAGUGAUGAUUCACUACAAAGGAAGUGGGUCGUGGUUUAAGGAAAGGAGGGACUGGGCUGU